GGUGAUGGAUGCAGCUCAGAGGUAGAGAGCUUGCCUGGCAUGCACAAGGCUCUGGGUUCAAGCACCAGCACUGGGGGGUGGGGGGAAAUGAAAGCAUCAAAGUAAAAGAAAACUAUGAAUCAUCAUUGGUCUUUUAUGAACAUGGGAUUUGGAGUGGGGAUAUAACUCAGUAUAGAGGGCUUGCUCUAGCUCUGCCCCUAGCAUGUGUGAGGUCCUGGGUUCAAUUCCCAGUUCCACCA
rnacentral:tRNA from 1 species